UACGGAGGGGGCUAGCGUUGUUCGGAAUUACUGGGCGUAAAGCGCACGUAGGCGGCCGCGCAAGUCAGAUGUGAAAUCCCGGGGCUCAACCCCGGAACUGCAUUUGAAACUGCACGGCUCGAGUUCGGUAGGGGAGUGUGGAAUUCCUAGUGUAGAGGUGAAAUUCGUAGAUAUUAGGAGGAACACCAGUGGCGAAGGCGACACUCUGGGCCGAUACUGACGCUGAGGUGCGAAAGCGUGGGGAGCAAACAGG
rnacentral:misc_RNA from 1 species